CAAUCCAUUCCAACGCUCCGAAACUUCACCCGAAGCUCCUCCCAAAGCCUUACCAUCUUGCGGAAAACGAAGAUGCUGAGCCUCUCCGUCGCCUCGCCGCCCGCCGCCGCCGCCGUCUUCCCCGCGAAAGCCUCGCUCCCCGCGGCGGCGAGGUCGUCGUCCUUCAGUGGCAUUCGAAUUCAGCACAGGCGCCCUCCUCUGGGUGUAUCUCUUGCGGCGUCGUCGUCGUCCUCUCGGGGCCGAGCUUCGAGUGUCGUGAUGAUGGCGAAGAGAGAGGAGGAGUUGAAGGAGAUAAGGGUCAAGACCGUCGAGGAAAUCAACGACGAGGUCGUGGACUUGAAGGGAGAGCUCCUGAUGCUCAGGUUGCAGAAAUCGGCCCGGAACGAGUUCAAGUCCAGCGAGUUUCGCCGCAUGCGCAAGAGGCUAAUCAGAGGAACAAGAAGUCACUCAAGUUCAAAGCCGGAGGUUCGUGCUCAGUCUCAAAAUCCUGUUUGGCGUAGUGGAACCAGUGACACCACCUUAGGGAGCUUCUUUGGCUGGCCAUGCUUGGCUGACAUCCUUAUCCCAUCCACUGCCCUUCAUCUAUCUGCUUUAGUCUAGCAGUCACGUGCCUCUUCCUUAAUUCCACCAAGGCUUCAGGUACUUGAAUUGCUGAGGUCAGGUCCUGCAGAUUUAGUUUUUGCAGCUCUUUCUGAGCCCACUCUUGCAGACCAAUCUCUAACCUAAACACCUUGUCUUUGCCAUGUUCCUUAUCUCCAGCACCAAUUACUGCAACUGCCUAACAGAUCGCUCGGCUGUUAACCGUGAAACGGGAAAGAGAAAUCGAGGAAGGAAUUAACAAGAGGUUAUCGAGAAAGCUUGACCGUAAAUGGAAAA